rnacentral:rRNA from 1 species
AGUGAACGCUGGCGGUAGGCCUAACACAUGCAAGUCGAACGGCAGCACAGUAAGAGCUUGCUCUUACGGGUGGCGAGUGGCGGACGGGUGAGGAAUACAUCGGAAUCUACUUUUUCGUGGGGGAUAACGUAGGGAAACUUACGCUAAUACCGCAUACGACCUACGGGUGAAAGCAGGGGAUCUUCGGACCUUGCGCGAUUGAAUGAGCCGAUGUCGGAUUAGCUAGUUGGCGGGGUAAAGGCCCACCAAGGCGACGAUCCGUAGCUGGUCUGAGAGGAUGAUCAGCCACACUGGAACUGAGACACGGUCCAGACUCCUACGGGAGGCAGCAGUGCGGAAUAUUGGACAAUGGGCGCAAGCCUGAUCCAGCCAUACCGCGUGGGUGAAGAAGGCCUUCGGGUUGUAAAGCCCUUUUGUUGGGAAAGAAAAGCAGCAGGUUAAUACCCCGCUGUUCUGACGGUACCCAAAGAAUAAGCACCGGCUAACUUCGUG